AGUAAGUAGUUAGAGAUAAGUGUUAUUGAAGUUAAUUUGAUUCUAUUGAUUGACAUCUAUAUAACUAUUGACGUAGUUAAAAUGUUUUGCUGGUGAUUUGAUGUUAAAUGUUUAAACUAAUAUCAAGACAAGUGGAGUAUUAUUAUUUUCAUAACAAGGGACAUGUAUAUUAUUUUCAUAAUUGAUUACAAAGACUAAGAUGAUAAUGGUAGAGAAGUCGAUGAGUAUAUUUUAAUAUUGGAAUUCUCAAUCUCUAUAUGAUUCUUCUUUCUAGUAGCGGCCUCCAAGUUGUCUUUAGGAAAUUACUUCAAAUUCUCACAUAUCCUUUUUUUUCUGAAUCCCAGUGCUUACUUUCUUCACCUAUUUCUAACAGCUUAAUAUUGGUUGGUUUGCUGAAAUUUAAGUGGUCUAAAGGAGUUAUCCCUGAUAUUUGGCCGAGUUCAAGACGGGUGCUGAACAUAAUUCAAAGGAAGUUAUCCCUACAAAGCUGCUCAGGUUUGUUUUCUUAUUUGCCUCCUUGAGUUUAUGCUUGAUCUGUUUUGUGUUUUGAUUGGGAUUUUACGGAUCUGUUUGCUGCGAUUUCAUCAUCCUAAUUUCUCACAGAUCUUCUAUUUUGUUUUGCAAGAUGAAAUCUUUUUGUUAUAUUUUCGAUAGAUUUGGCCUUAAUUAGCAACACAAUGACAUAAGAUGUUGAAAUGCUCUUCUGUAGUGAGUAAAUGACCGGCUGAUACACAACUGUAGGAACAUUUCCAGCUCCUGAUGUUUCUUUUGACCUGUUUUAAUUAUUCUGGUUCAGACUGUGGUUAUGGAUUCUCUUCAUGUACACGGGGUUAUUAGUUUAAUUAUGUCUCUGAUGCUGAAAAAUUGCUGAUUUUGUCUCUGUUUGUGGUAGCUAUAUUUGUUCAAUAUAAUCAAAGGUCUUUCUUAUAUCCAAGAGUUGGAAAUAAGUUGCCGGAUGAUGAUUAUUGAGUGAGUAAUGCACAGUGCUUAUAUAGAAAUAGAAGCAACAAGUAAAGAGUGCAAUGAAUCUAGCUGUGUUGGAGAAGUCAUUGUAAAUGAGCAGGAGAAGAGAUCUAUGAUGAGUUUUCUUUUCCUGAAUAUUUGGGUGCUAUACUUUGUUCUUUAUCUUAUAAACUUCUUUUAAAAAUUAAUAGUUAUGUGGGAUAUUAUGUGUAUGAUUUCGUUUCUAGACAUUUGUGUGAUUAUGAUUGACA